CAGAGAAUCUUCUCUUAAAACCCUGUGAACUUACCUUUGUUGCCUCGGGGGGCCGCCCGGGAGUGUCGCGUUCUGCGCGCUCGCCCGGGAGCCACGGCGUCCCGGUGGCCCAAAAAACUCUUGUUUUGUAUGGCCUAUCAGAAAUACUAUCUAAUAGUUA
rnacentral:misc_RNA from 1 species